ensembl:lncRNA
GACUGGUUUACCAAUAACCCAAGGUUUUCUAAUAUCUUUCUGCCUGCAUACUCUCCCUUUCUAAACCCGAUAGAGGAGUUAUUUUCGGCAUGGCGGUGGAAAGUGUAUGGCCGAGAACCUUAUGUCCGUGUUCACCUCCUUCAGGCCAUGGAAGAGGCCUGCCUAGACAUAUCAGUAGAUGCAUGCCAGGGGUGGAUCAGGCAUGCAAGAGGAUUUUACCCCCGCUGCCUGGCUGGGGCCAAUAUAGCCUGUGAUGUGGAUGAGAUUCUCUGGCCUGACCCAGACCAAAGACAAGAUGCUGAGUUUGCGGACGACACUACAGUGGUGGGUCUUAUCACCAACGGUGAUGAGACGGCUUACAGGGAGGAGGUCAGCGCCCUGACCCACUGGUGUCAAGACAACCAUCUCACCCUCAACGUCGCAAAGACAAAGGAGUUGAUAAAGUACACACCCCCAUCACCAUCAACGGCGCUGCUGUGGAGAGAGUGAGCAGCUUCCGGUUCCUUGGUGUACAUCUGGCUGAGGAUCUUACGUGGUCAG